GAUGAAGAACGUAGCGAAAUGCGAUAAGUAGUGUGAAUUGCAGAAUUCAGUGAAUCAUCGAAUCUUUGAACGCACAUUGCGCCCCUUGGUAUUCCAUGGGGCAUGCCUGUUCGAGCGUCAUUUGUACCCUCAAGCUAAGCUUGGUGUUGGGUGUUUGUCCACUCCCUCGUGUUUGGACUCGCCUUAAAACAAUUGGCAGCCAGUGUUUUGGUAUUGAAGCGCAGCACAAUUUGCGAUUCUAGCCUAGAAUACUAGCAUCCAUCAAGUCAUUUUUAACGCUUGACCACGGAUCAGGUAGGGAUACCCGCUGAACUUAAGCAUAUCAAUAAGCGGAGGA
rnacentral:misc_RNA from 1 species